CCACCAUUGAAAACAGAAUGUGAACUACUGUCCAGAAGCCCUCUGUGAACUUCAGGUCUGCCUUAGGAGGGACGCUUCCAGCGAGGGAGCGCGUGAUGAAGUCUGCAGGCAUUGCUGGGGCAACGCUAAGUGGCCGCUGGCCAGGGUAGAAGUUAAACCAGGAGAUGGCUGUCAAAUGCAGUUGUUAGGUGUGGCACAUCUUUCUCAAGCUGCUGAGCUGAGCAGGAAAGAGAGACGUUUGUUUAUGGAUUUAUCUCAUCUAUAAGACACUCUUAUUAGAUGAACUCUAUAUCAGUUCUAUGUAGAACUCUGUACCAGUUCUAUAAGGCACUCUUUAAUCUGAAUCUUUUUAUUUGCUCAAGAGAAAAAUAAGUCUGACUUGCAUCCCAUUGAAGAUUUAGAUUGCACUGUUUACAUCUUUCACCUGCGCCGCGGUAGCGUCCUCUACCGAUGCUAUCCUACGUUGAUUUUUCCAGCAACCUGGGAAGCAACCUCAUAGGUGGUUUGGGAUGUCUUUUGGCUGUGCUUAAAAAUUUCCAACAGAUUUGCUACACAUCUUAGGAUAAAUAUGUUUCCUGUGAAUUGUGAUGAUUUCUUACAGUACAUUUGCAAGCAUGUGUAUGCAUCUGCAGGAAACAUAGCCUGGCUCUGUGAAGGAAUACUGCUGUGACCGCAAAACUGUUUCUGUAGAAUUUUCUCCGGUGUGGUCAUCCUGCCUUCAGAGGUUUCUCCAGGACGUCACCUGUAUGAGGUACACAGUGUGAUGACACACUCUGUGCUUUUCCUACUUGUGUCCACGGCUCAAGCCUGGAAGAAGCCUUAGGACGUGGGGGAAAUGUCUAACGUGGAGUCCACCUGCUGAGCAGGACCGGGUGUGAAGGAAGAAGCUUUGUUCUGAUUCCUCAUGGCCCAGCCACCCCUCGCCUGAGCUGAGCCUGGCCACAGGGCCCGCCUGCAGGAAGGGCUGGCCCAUGGCUUCACACUGGGCUCAGGCUGCGCUAAGAGCCCCGGGUGAGGACCUCCAAGCCCAGGAAGCCUCAGUUGGCCAAAGUGCUAGAUGCGUGUGGUCUGCUUUCAUCCCCGCUUCCCUCAGAGCUUGCAUUUUCCAAAUUCAAGAGAGGCUCCACCUUCAAGAAGACCGGCCUGUCCCUGUUAUUUAUGUGUCCCCCUACCAUAUCUCCCUUUGUUCUGCAGAGCGGUACGCAUAAAAAGCUUUUGGGGA
rnacentral:lncRNA from 1 species